GUAGAAGCGUGUGUUAUAGUACAUGCAGGGGCUGUCCACAUAUUUAUUAUUAUAGAAAUGUAGACAGGAAAAGAACGUAUUAGGAAGGGGAAAGAAAAAAAAACGGUUGCUCAAUGUUGCUCAAACAGCGCAAAAAAGACUGAUAGAACAGAGAGAUAGCUCACACAAAUGCCCGAAACAGGAUUCGAACCCAGGAUCUUCUUGGCACAAGGCCAAUUCCAGUUAAUAAUCUCCCACAAUACACUACGAUGAGGUUCCGCAAUUUGAGGAAACCUUUUUGUCAUAUAUUUGAGAGUUCGCGUUUCGUUACAAACUAAGUGAUUUCAUGUCGAAAUGAUUUUCAAAAUUAACUAAAUAUUGUUCAAAGAUUGCUGAAUCGUCAAAUGUGAGAAUUUUAAUGUGGAGAAAACACUCCAGAAAAAAAAAAGAUGUAAUCUAGCUGAUUUAAUAAGAAUAUGAAAAUAUAUCAUUCUUGAUAAAAUA